CCUACGGGAGGCAGCAGUGAGGAAUUUUCUGCAAUGGGCGAAAGCCUGACAGAGCAAUACCGCGUGAGGGAUGAAGGCCUACGGGUUGUAAACCUCUUUUCUCAAGGAGGAAGAACUGACGUUACUUGAGGAAUAAGCAUCGGCUAACCCUGUGCCAGCAGCCGCGGUAAUACAGGGGAUGCAAGUGUUAUCCGGAAUUAUUGGGCGUAAAGCGUCUGCAGGUUGAUAUUUAAGUCUUUUGUUAAAUCUUUGGGCUCAACCCAAAAACUGCAAAGGAAACUAUUUAUCUUGAGUAUGGUAGAGGUAAAGGGAAUUUCCAGUGGAGCGGUGAAAUGCGUAGAUAUUGGAAAGAACACCAACAGCGAAGGCACUUUACUGGGCCAUUACUGACACUCAGAGACGAAAGCUAGGGGAGCAAACGGGAUUAGAUACCCCGGUAGUCCUAGCUGUAAACGAUGGAUACUAGAUGUUGUGUGCUCUUCGAGCAUGCAGUGUCGUAGCUAACGCGUUAAGUAUCCCGCCUGGGAAGUAUGCUCGCAAGAGUGAAACUUAAGGAAUUGACGG
rnacentral:rRNA from 1 species